UCAGAUUGAACGCUGGCGGCAGGCCUAACACAUGCAAGUCGAACGGUAACAGGAAGAAGCUUGCUCUUGCUGACGAGUGGCGGACGGGUGAGUAAUGUCUGGGAAACUGCCUGAUGGAGGGGGAUAACUACUGGAAACGGUAGCUAAUACCGCAUAACGUCGCAAGACCAAAGAGGGGGACCUUCGGGCCUCUUGCCAUCGGAUGUGCCCAGAUGGGAUUAGCUUGUUGGUGGGGUAACGGCUCACCAAGGCGACGAUCCCUAGCUGGUCUGAGAGGAUGACCAGCCACACUGGAACUGAGACACGGUCCAGACUCCUACGGGAGGCAGCAGUGGGGAAUAUUGCACAAUGGGCGCAAGCCUGAUGCAGCCAUGCCGCCGUGCAUGAAGAAGGCCUUCGGGUUGUAAAGUACUUUCAGCGGGGAGGAAGGGAGUAAAGUUAAUACCUUUGCUCAUUGACGUUACCCGCAGAAGAAGCACCGGCUAACUCCGUGCCAGCCGCCGC
rnacentral:rRNA from 1 species